GAUGAAGAACGCAGCGAAAUGCGAUAAGUAAUGUGAAUUGCAGAAUUCAGUGAAUCAUCGAAUCUUUGAACGCACAUUGCGCCCGCCAGUAAUCUGGCGGGCAUGCCUGUUCGAGCGUCAUUUCAACCAUCAAGCCCCCGGCUUGUGUUGGGGACCUGCGGCUGCCGCAGGCCCUGAAAAGCAGUGGCGGGCUCGCUGUCACACCGAGCGUAGUAGCAUACAUCUCGCUCUGGGCGUGCUGCGGGUUCCGGCCGUUAAACCACCUUCAUAACCCAAGGUUGACCUCGGAUCAGGUAGGAAGACCCGCUGAACUUAAGCAUAUCAAUAAGCGGAGGA
rnacentral:misc_RNA from 1 species